UACGUAGGGGGCGAGCGUUGUCCGGAAUCAUUGGGCGUAAAGCGCGUGUAGGCGGCCCGGUAAGUCCGCUGUGAAAGUCCAGGGCUCAACCCUGGGAUGCCGGUGGAUACUGUCGGGCUCGAGUCCGGAAGAGGCGAGUGGAAUUCCUGGUGUAGCGGUGGAAUGCGCAGAUAUCAGGAGGAACACCAAGAGCGAAGGCAGCUCGCUGGGACGUUACUGACACUGAGGCGCGAAAGCGUGGGGAGCGAACAGG
rnacentral:rRNA from 1 species